rnacentral:rRNA from 1 species
UACAGAGGGGGCGAGCGUUGUUCGGAAUUACUGGGCGUAAAGGGCGCGUAGGCGGCCCGCUAAGUCGAACGUGAAAUCCCCGGGCUCAACCCGGGAACUGCGUCCGAUACUGGCAGGCUUGAAUCCGGGAGAGGGAUGUGGAAUUCCAGGUGUAGCGGUGAAAUGCGUAGAUAUGUGGAGGAACACCAGUGGCGAAGGCGACUCUUUGGCCUGUAACUGACACUGAGGCGCGAAAGCGUGGGGAGCAAACAGG